AUGAAAGGAAGAUGAACCUGAUGAACUCUUUUCCACUAACAACAUACUGCAAGCAAACGGCUCUGUUGGGCAGGAUGCAUCAUAUAAUUCAGUCGAUUCAGUUCAGUGCCAUGCAUCCCACCAAAACGUAUUUUAGAAGCGGUUUACAUGCAUUCAGGAGUUUAGAAGCGACGCAGCGAGCAGUACACAGUGCUGUCAGAAGAGAAUGGUUUCUCCCAUCACCUGUGCUUCAAGUGGUUUGUCCCACUAUUCAGCCAGCCUACCCUGAAUGAGUCAUCCUGCUCUUCCUUGAUUGGCCGGUUGGGAUCCAUCCCGAGGGAUUGCCAUGCAGAAAGCUGCCGAGGCCUGACUUCAUUCACAGAAACGUCGGUAUGCCCGUCUGCCUUUCCAUUCACAGCAAGCCCAAAUCAUUUUCGUCCGCACGGCUCCCCAGCAUCCUCACAUCCUCUCCUCAGCAUCUCUUCCGCAUCUCUGUGACAACACCGAACAAGGAGCACUUAUAAUGCUUUCUUUGCUUUUGUCUUAGUGGAGAAGACAAACCCUUGCUCUCUCUCUCUCUCUCUCUCUCUCUCUGUCUCUCUCUCUUUUCCUCUUUUUUUCAA